rnacentral:rRNA from 1 species
AUCAUGGGCGAAAGCCUGGAUGCAGCGACGCCGCGNUGGAGGGAUGACGGCCUUCGGGUUUGUAAACCUCUUUCAGCAGGGAAGAAGGCCUUCGGGUGGACGGUACCUGCAGAAGAAGCGCCGGCUAACUACGUGCCAGCAGCCGCGGUAAUACGA